GCCGGUAAUUGACGGGAAUCAAGCCGAGAGGCAGGCGAGACUUUCAGGACGUGAAACGAAAGUUCUCCGUCCAACGAGUCCUAUGAAAGGCCCGCCGAGGAUAUCCGCCCCGCGAAGUUGUAAGUGGGACAGGUACGAGGCGUAGUCGAGCGUACAGCAAGAGAGGGUGACAUCCACGACGAGUAUAGCGCACGAGAGCAGGGGAGACGAUAAAUUAUCCAUCGAGGAAGGGAGGGAGUGAAAGCGGCACGUGCGAGACACUUACUCGCGCGAGAAUCGCCUUAUCUCAUCUCUCGCACCCCGGAUACAUCCGGUUCUUGAGUCAAGAAUGGAGUUUACUCGUUAAUGCGUAGUCUCACAAAUGAGUUUGCUAAGCUGAAAAGCGCUCUAGCUUACACGGGAAUGUAGUUACUGCUUCCCGUGUAUAUUAUGAUGAAUGAGCACGCCGCCGGGCUGGAAAGGUACGAAUUUUGCUAGACCAAAACGAAAGCUGCAUGAAAGCAAAUAUGAAAAACUCGCAUAGAGUUUGGCAGCAGAAGAAAGAGCCUCGGUGUUUUCGUGAGUAACGCGACUGAGCAAAUAUUUGCGUCAAUCGACCUGAUCGUAAAUCGACGAUUGGAGAUCGCGAUCAGUCGCAAUCAGGUCGUUUUUCUGAUUAAUCGCUUGCCAUGUCACGACCGGACGAUUCGAAGAUUCACUCACCGACAAUCCCGCAUCACGCAGAUCGAAGCGCAAAUGUACCAAUCGAUGUCGAUCAACAUUUACGCUAUUAUGGAAUGCACGAUUUCAAUUUUCUGUUCCAUAAAAUAUUAAUUAUAAAUUAUUUUUUUAAAUGUACAUGACAAAAAUCUGUGGAUAUUUUUAAAAGAUUUUUUAAUUCUAUAAGUUUAAAAACACUGUAUAUUUUGCAGAAAAUUAAUUACAUAAACUCUUUUAAAGUUGUUUUAAUGUUUAGCUUUAUAAUAAUAAACAAAAUUU